AUUAUAAGGUAUUUUACUUGUUGUAGUAGUUAAAUGUUUUUCAUUUUAAGAACUAAAUAUACAUGAAAAAGUAAAAAAAAAUAAAUUGAGGUCUAAAGUUCUUGUUUUACUAGUUUGGGCUUUGAGCCGAUCCUAAUUACACAUGUUCUCAAUGCUAAUAUAUACUCCUUGUUAUUUGUUAAAACAAAAUCUCACCAAAAAAAUACUAGUAUAUACACUAUUGGAAAAAAUAAUUUUAGCGUAAGACCUCCACACAAACGUUAUUAGCAUUAGUCCAACGGAUGCUAGUGCUUUAAAAUUUUUGUUUUUGUUUUUUUUAUUAAACAUUAGUGUCGGUUAGUCCGACGUUAAAUUUUUUAAUUUUAUUCACCCUUUUAACGUCAGUUGGUCCGAUGCUACAUUUUUCUAAUUUGUAACGUUAAAUAUUUUACUCUUUCUUAUUUUCAAUAAAAUGUAUUUAUCUUUAUUUUUUCCUACUUUUAUCCAUCUCUUUUUCCUUCACUCAUUUUUCCUCUCAAUUCGCAAAACCCUUUUUUUCCCCUCAAUAAAACCCUAUUCCUUUUCCCCCAAAUCACAAAACUCAUCUGAAUCGGUUUGUUCUUGUUCAACCUCAAUAUGUUUACUCUUUUCUCUCAAAAUCACAAAACUUGAUUAUGGUCGUUCUAGCCUUUUUAUUUUCCUUGUUAUGUUCGUUUUGUUGCUACUCAUUGUGGUCAAUAAAACGAGCUUCCACUUAAAGAAGGCAGAGACAUUGCUUGCUAUAAUACAAGAAAACUAAGAUGCUUCUUAUGUGUGGAAAUAGGAAGAUUUCCAGCUGAUUUUUUUUGUUUUCCAUCUAGAAAACUGUUAUGACGGCUGUUCCAUAAUAGAUGAUUGAUAAUAAAUUUCAAUUUGUAUAUAGUAGAAGAUGUUUUUUAAGAUUAAAUUUACUAUAGUCAAUUUAGUGUGAAGAGAUUUCGACACUUUGAACGUUAAGGGACGAAGUUCAAAUCCCUUUGAAAGUCUUUUUAUAAUACUAUUAUUGUUGUGAUUUUUUUUUUUUUUUGUAUUCCAUUAUAUCAAAAUUAAACUUUGUUUAAUUUUAUUUUUGACUCAAAACGUAAAUAAAAAUAUUAUUAUAGCAUAUUUUAGACAAUAUAUCACUGACUUGAAUAUAUCACAGACAAUAUAUUAUGGGUGAUGAGUAUUUUAUUUUUGACUCAAAACUUAAAUAUAAAUAUUACUAUAACAUAUUUUAGACAAUAUAUCACUGACUUGAACAUAUCAGACACAAUAUAUCAUGAAUGAUGAGUAUUUUAUUUUUGACUCAAAACUUAAAUAAAAAUAUUACUAUAACAUAUUUUAGACAAUAUAUCACUAAUUUGAACAUAUCACAGACAAUAUAUCAUGGGUGAUGAGUAUUUUGGAUAGGUGGUGAGUAGACGGGUGAUGGUGAGUAGAUUGGUGCUAGUGGUGGUGGUGUAGAGGAAUAUAAAUGGUGAUGGUUUGCUGAAACAUUUAUUUGAAAAGUAAUUAUUUUAUAUUAAAUUAAUACAACAAUUUUUCAAAUACAUUUUUAAGUUAUUCUAUUUAAUAACUAACUGUAAACAGUAAAUAUAGUCAAUUUGACUAUUGUAUGUUUAUUGAUAAUAAACCACACACAAGUUUUUGUUUUUAUUUUAAAUCAAAGCAAAUGCAACAAGCUUAUAAUUACUUUUAUGUGUAAACUAUUAAAACAAACCAAUCGCAAGGUUGAUAA